GACGAACGCUGGCGGCGUGCCCAAUACAUGCAAGUAGAACGCUGAAGGAGGAGCUUGCUUCUCUGGAUGAGUUGCGAACGGGUGAGUAACGCGUAGGUAACCUGCCUGGUAGCGGGGGAUAACUAUUGGAAACGAUAGCUAAUACCGCAUAAUAGUAGAUGUUGCAUGACAUUUGCUUAAAAGGUGCAAUUGCAUCACUACCAGAUGGACCUGCGUUGUAUUAGCUAGUUGGUGGGGUAACGGCUCACCAAGGCGACGAUACAUAGCCGACCUGAGAGGGUGAUCGGCCACACUGGGACUGAGACACGGCCCAGACUCCUACGGGAGGCAGCAGUAGGGAAUCUUCGGCAAUGGACGGAAGUCUGACCGAGCAACGCCGCGUGAGUGAAGAAGGUUUUCGGAUCGUAAAGCUCUGUUGUAAGAGAAGAACGAGUGUGAGAGUGGAAAGUUCACACUGUGACGGUAACUUACCAGAAAGGGACGGCUAACUACGUG
rnacentral:rRNA from 1 species